rnacentral:rRNA from 1 species
AUUGAACGCUGGCGGAAUGCUUUACACAUGCAAGUCGAACGGCAGCACGGGGGCAGCCCUGGUGGCGAGUGGCGAACGGGUGAGUAAUACAUCGGAACGUGCCCGGUCGUGGGGGAUAACGUAGCGAAAGUUACGCUAAUACCGCAUACGAUCUGAGGAUGAAAGCGGGGGACCUUCGGGCCUCGCGCGAUCGGAGCGGCCGAUGUCAGAUUAGGUAGUUGGUGGGGUAAAGGCCUACCAAGCCGACGAUCUGUAGCUGGUCUGAGAGGACGACCAGCCACACUGGGACUGAGACACGGCCCAGACUCCUACGGGAGGCAGCAGUGGGGAAUUUUGGACAAUGGGCGCAAGCCUGAUCCAGCCAUUCCGCGUGCAGGACGAAGGCCUUCGGGUUGUAACCUGCUUUUGUACGGAACGAGAAGGCUCUGGCUAAUACCUGGGGCUCAUGACGGUACCGUAAGAAUAAGCACCGGCUAACUACGUG